ACGUCGCCUUUCUCCCCUCAUUUUUCUGUGUGCGUGGUGGUGGGUGAAAACCCUAGAUCGACACGGUGGUGCAAAAAUCCCCCAACCCUCGUUCUCCUUGUUUGCCCGUGUGUGGCGGCGACGACGGCGUGCGGGAGGAGGAGGGAGGCAGAGCUGCGCCGGCCUCCCUAGGUGAAGAAAAGGAGGCUGGGGCGCAGCGUGGAGGUGGCGGCCGUCCCGGCUCUGGAUGCGAGGCGCGCGAUGCAUCGCGGGUUGAGGGAGCGGUGAUGGGCUGGCGGCGGCGACGAUCUCUCCACCUUGCCGGCGUCGCGCCUCCUCUUCUCCGACCCCGAGAACCAACCCGCAUCGGCAGCGGCAGGUCGCUGCUGGUCACAGGGAGACGACACACCGGAGGGGGAUUUGGCUGUGUUGCCUGGCGGAGAUGAUGCAGAGGCGGAGGAGAUGAAUCCUCCAGCCGACGACCCACGGUGGAGUCUUGGCCGCAGAGGUCGCGGACGCCUUCCCGUCCUUGAGCCAUCUCCCCUCCGUGGUUGGCGGCGCAGAGCAGAGUGACGAGCCGCAGGAGCUCGCCGGGCGUCUGCUCGCCACCUGCGGGGGGCACAGUCCCGUCCCCCAGUUCUCCGUCAGGCAGCUUUGUUGAUGACUGGAUGCACGGCAUGAUCGGGUAGACUAGCAGCCUGGAGGUAUAGAGGUACCUCGCAGCUUUGUUGAUGACUGGAUGCACGCCAUGAUCAAGAGUAUGCCAGAUGAUAUAUUUAUUUAGCAGAAUUCUCUUAUAUGAAGCAAGUGCAGAUGAUGGCUGGACAUGUCCUUGCCCAAUCCCCGACGAACUCUCCUCCCAACGGUGGCGCGCCGCCUCUUCUCGGGAUGGAGUCGGACGGGGACGGCCGUUGUGGGGAGGUUGAGGAGCUGGUGCAGGCCAUCGGGGGACAGCGCGGGGAGGAGCAGGAGGAGGGAGCGGAGGACCAAGCGGCUCGGCGCCGAUGCGGUCAAGAAACCUGCAGCGGCAGCGUCCAUCGACCAUCGGCACAGAGAAUAUUGGUCCUCCGUUCAGAUCUCAACCCCAGCUUAGAUCUCCGCCGUUGGGUGGCGUGGCGCCUCCGCCGGCUGCAUCUGUCUGCCCAUCGCACAUCUUCGUUGGAGGCUGCCGACGUGAGGCACAGCCGCCAUGGCCGGCGCCAGCUUCUUCCUCCCCAUCGGCCAGGUGACCUUGUUGACUCCUCCCUCUUCACCAGCCAGGCCAACUCGCCGGCACCUCCCACCUCACCGGCCCAGGAGAGAUCCCCACCCUCAACGUCGCCGCGUCCUGUGCUCGCCGCCGUCCAUGAGCCGAUUCCGCAGUGCAGAUGAGCCUCGAAGCAGGAGGCUGGGCGGAGGCAGGUGGCGGCCAUGGGGAUGAGGUUGCAACGGGCGAUGCCAUUAGAGCAGAGAUAGCGUAUCCGUGGUCUAGGGUUGUGUGUAGGGCUGCCAAUCUAGAUCGUUCUAAUCAUCGUUUCUUCCUCAUAUGAUUAGAUUUUUGUGCUUGGUGAAGUAGGUAGGGAGCAGACAUGCAGAUAUGGGAGAAGGUGCUCAUGGGACUCGAUGUCAAGUUGCAGUAGUUCAAGCCAUACCCUGGAUUGGGCGUAGGUGUUUUGACGCCAUGGGAUGGCAUUGCUACUGAUGAGGCGAGCAGCCAACUUGUUUGUGAGAUACAACAACACACCUUGGCUUCAUUGGAGCUCACCAGCAUGCAAAUGUGGUAUGAGGCUUGAUGUUGAUGAAGUUGAAAAGAUAAUUUAUAUUGAUGUGGGAAUUCUCAGACGAGAAGGAAAAAACAGUUCUCUAUUGCUGCUCUGUUGAUAUUUUACUGUUAUUUAUUUUCUGAAACAAUUUGUUGUGAUGGUUAGGUGUACGAUGCCACGGGAGCAAGCGAGAGAACAAACUGGAGGAGGUAGAAAGGCCGUGACUAAUGGGUCUGCUGUAGUAUUUUAACUGUGCCAUGUGGAAUCAACUUCUUAGGUUGCAGUACAUGGUUUCUGCUGUCCUCCCCUUGCUUGCUUGGUACUAGCUGGUUAUGAUGUGGUGGCCGGCCGUUUAUGCUCUGCUACUUGUGCUGCUGCUGCUCUCUGUCUCUCUGUCUUCCUCGAUGCUCAAGACAAGCAACAUG